GUGCCAGCCGCCGCGGUAAAACCGGCAGCCCGAGUGAUGGCCGAUCUUAUUGGGCCUAAAGCGUCCGUAGCUGGCUGCGCAAGUCCGUCGGGAAAUCCACUCGCCCAACGAGUGGGCGUCCGGUGGAAACUACACGGCUUGGGACCGGAAGGCGCGACGGGUACGUCCAGGGUAGGAGUGAAAUCCCGUAAUCCUGGACGGACCGCCGAUGGCGAAAGCACGUCGCGAGAACGGAUCCGACAGUGAGGGACGAAAGCUAGGGUCUCGAGCCGGAUUAGAUACCCGAGUAGUCC
rnacentral:rRNA from 1 species